AUUGAACGCUGGCGGCAUGCCUUACACAUGCAAGUCGAACGGUAACGCGGGGCAACCUGGCGACGAGUGGCGAACGGGUGAGUAAAGUAUCGGAACGUGCCCAAUAGUGGGGGAUAGCCCGGCGAAAGCCGGAUUAAUACCGCAUGAGACCUGAGGGUGAAAGCGGGGGACUCGCAAGAGCCUCGCGCUGUUGGAGCGGCCGAUAUCAGAUUAGGUAGUUGGUGGGGUAAAGGCCUACCAAGCCGACGAUCUGUAGCUGGUCUGAGAGGACGACCAGCCACACUGGGACUGAGACACGGCCCAGACUCCUACGGGAGGCAGCAGUGGGGAAUUUUGGACAAUGGGCGCAAGCCUGAUCCAGCCAUGCCGCGUGCGGGAAGAAGGCC
rnacentral:rRNA from 1 species